rnacentral:lncRNA from 1 species
UGAUAAUGAUUUGAUGUGGAUGAUAAUUGAGCUGCAUUGCAUGUUGAUAUUCUGUGAAACAGAUGGGUGAUGAAUUAUGAUUGUGGUUAUGAGGCUAAGCCAGGUGUAUGAAUGAAUAUUGUGUGAGAAAGCAUGUUGCGUGAGGUAUUGAGCUCCAGAGUUUUCAUUGUUGUGUGUUUUGUUCAUAGGAAAGCAUGAAUGAUAUUGCCUUAAUCUUGAUGAUUGAUUGAAUUGCAUGUGAAUGUCAUAUGAUCAUGGCCAUUUUUGAAAACCCUUCUCUNGCCAAAUUUUCACCCAAAGUGCUUGAAAAUAUUAUACCCUUUUUGAACCUUAGCCUUAAACAGGAUGUGAACCCUUGUCUUGAAAUUUUUUACCUUGAGUUGGGAUGAGCUUUAUUGUAUGUGAUGAAAAGGUUCAAGUUUGGGGUUGCGUGGGGGAAAUUGAAAGGCAAUUGAAAAGCAUUGAGCUCAAAUGUUGUGAAAGAAAAAUACAUGAGAAAAAGAAAAAAAAGAAGAAAAGCAUGAAGAUGGGCUCAAUGCAAAAGAAAAGGGAAAAAGUUGGGAAUAAGUGCGAUUGGUGAGGAAGAGAGUUGUGCUUAAAUGAUGAAUAAUAUGAUAGCUCUCUAAACUCAAGGAUUUUCCAUUCCAGAAAAACCAAUUCUUCUUGUUAGCUCAACCUCAUUACAAGCCUUGGAAAAGUCCUUCUGAUAGCAUUUGCAUGUAAGGAUUUUGGUUGUUUUAGAUGAAUGACAAUUUUAUUCUAUGUGACUUGUGAAUGAUAG